rnacentral:rRNA from 1 species
UACGUAGGGGGCAAGCGUUGGCCGGAUUUAUUGGGCGUAAAGAGCGUGUAGGCGGUCUGGUAGGUCCGUUGGGAAAACUCGAGGCUCAACCUCGAGACGCCGAUGGAAACCCUCAGACUAGAGUCCGGAAGAGGAGAGUGGAAUUCCUGGUGUAGCGGUGAAAUGCGCAGAUAUCAGGAAGAACACCCGUGGCUAAGGCGGCUCUCUAGUACGGUACUGACGCUGAGACGCGAAAGCGUGGGGAGCGAACAGG